rnacentral:rRNA from 1 species
UACAGAGGUCUCAAGCGUUGUUCGGAUUCAUUGGGCGUAAAGGGUGCGUAGGUGGCGCGGUAAGUCGGGUGUGAAAUCUCGGAGCUUAACUCCGAAACUGCACUUGAUACUGCCUCGCUUGAGUACUGGAGAGGAGACUGGAAUUUACGGUGUAGCAGUGAAAUGCGUAGAUAUCGUAAGGAAGACCAGUGGCGAAGGCGAGUCUCUGGACAGUUACUGACGCUGAGGCACGAAGGCCAGGGGAGCAAACGGG